UUUUCAGCCGCCGCGGUAAUACGUAGGGUGCAAGCGUUGUCCGGAAUUAUUGGGCGUAAAGAGCUCGUAGGCGGUUUGUCGCGUCUGCUGUGAAAACUCGGGGCUCAACCCCGAGCUUGCAGUGGGUACGGGCAGACUAGAGUGCGGUAGGGGAGACUGGAAUUCCUGGUGUAGCGGUGGAAUGCGCAGAUAUCAGGAGGAACACCGGUGGCGAAGGCGGGUCUCUGGGCCGUAACUGACGCUGAGGAGCGAAAGCAUGGGGAGCGAACAGGAUUAGAAACCCGAGUAGUCC
rnacentral:rRNA from 1 species